AUACUUACCUUGUAGGGGAGAUUGAUUCCAUGACCAUGAAGGUGGUUUUCCCAGGGGGAGGCUUAGCCACUGCAAUCUGGAUGAGCUGACCCUUCCGGUUUCCCAAAAUGUGAGGACUGCAUCAUUUGUGGUAGUGGGGGACUGCAUUCGUGUGUUUUCCCCUA
ensembl:snRNA U1 U1 spliceosomal RNA